rnacentral:rRNA from 1 species
UUUGACUCCGGUUGAUCCUGCCGGACCCGACUGCUAUCAGAGUGGGACUAAGCCAUGCGAGUCAACAUAGCAAUAUGUGGCAUACGGCUCAGUAACACGUAGUCAACAUGCCCAGGGGACGUGGAUA